UGAAAAUAAUCCACCAAUGAUUACUUGAUGUUUAGAAAAAAUUUCUAUAAUGACUAGAGUAUUCACCUUGUCACAAGUUGUCUUUGAGAUUUAGUAAAGCAAUCUUCACUCUACCUUGAGGCAACUAAUAUAUAAGUUUUCUUCAUCAAAACACCUUUAGUGCAACCUUAAUACUUUUUUCAACUCAAAAAAAUCAAAAAUUAAACUGCUCCAUCUCCCCCAAUCCGAACCGUUUGGUGUCGAUGAGUGCAUUCAAUGUACGGGUUGGGCUUCACAAGCAAUACUUACAUCCACCUUGAAUGAGAUCUAUGCUCCAAUUAUACCCUACAAGCACAAUCACAAACGUCGGCCGUGGCUUAAAACGACAAAUAAACACUCAUCUUUGAGCCGUCCAUGGAUAUUGCAACCAAUGCUGACACUACAACAUAAGUACACCGUCGCAAGAGUACUCUUCUGCUGCACCAGACCGCUAUACAGGGAAGGUAUGACCAACUGCUAGUUUCAAAAUUGCAACCAGUAGUUUGAUGACCUUGUGCCUCUCCAAUCGCACUGUUGGUCGAGGCUCCCACAUCGCUGCAACUCUUCCUCCUCCAACAAAUGCAACACACCAAGCAACCGCGCCGACUGCGUCAAAAUCGACCCCUUCCAGUAACGGAACAAACAGAAAAAACAGGAAAAAAACAAAGGAGGGCUGAACCACAGUACUCCAAUAGAGCGAAAAAGAAAAACUAGAACAUAUUGAACUUUGGCGAGCCGGAGCUCAUGAGAGUAUGAAAGGAAGAAAAAACGAGAAUAAGGGAGUUGCUGGGUGAUUCUCCGCACACUAUGCAAGAGCGCCUCUUCCUAGUCAUAACAGCCGCACCAUCCAGACCACUGCCACACCACACACAUGUUGAAAAAUUUCCCACAAUCGAAGCCGCAGAUCAAAAUGGAUAACGACGUCCUUCCCUAAACGCCGCCGCAACUACUCACACCGACAUAGAGAUAAAACACCUCCCAAGAGGAGUUUUGCUGCCGUCGGAGCCCGGAACAAUCACACAAAAAAAAAUCAAAAAUCAACAAUCAAAAAA
rnacentral:lncRNA from 1 species